rnacentral:rRNA from 1 species
UACAGAGGGGGCAAGCGUUGUUCGGAAUUACUGGGCGUAAAGGGCGCGUAGGCGGCCUGCUAAGUCGAACGUGAAAUCCCUGGGCUCAACCCAGGAACUGCGUCCGAUACUGGUUGGCUUGAAUCCGGGAGAGGGAUGUGGAAUUCCAGGUGUAGCGGUGAAAUGCGUAGAGAUCGGGAAGAACACCAAUGGCGAAGGCAGUCGGCUGGGCCGUUGCUGACACUGAGGCGCGACA